UGCCUACGGGAGGCAGCAGCUAAGAAUCUUGCGCAAUGGGCGAAAGCCUGACGCAGCAAUUCCGCGUGGGGGACGAAGGCCCUCGGGUCGUAAACCCCUUUUGCGAGGGAAGAAGUUCUGACGGUACCUCGCGAAUAAGACACGGCUAACUACGUGCCAGCAGCCGCGGUAAUACGUAGGUGUCAAGCGUUGUCCGGAUUUAUUGGGCGUAAAGAGCCCGCAGGCGGCUUGCCAAGUUCGAGGUGAAAUCUCCCGGCUCAACCGGGAGGGUGCCUCGAAAACUGGCAGGCUUGAGGCAGGGAGAGGGAUGUGGAAUUCCCGGUGUAGUGGUGAAAUGCGUAGAUAUCGGGAGGAACACCAGUGGCGAAGGCGGCAUCCUGGCCCUGUCCUGACGCUCAGGGGCGAAAGCGUGGGGAGCAAACCGGAUUAGAUACCCGUGUAGUCAAC
rnacentral:rRNA from 1 species